rnacentral:rRNA from 1 species
CCGUGCCCAAGAGAUCGGGAUAACACCUGGAAACAGAUGCUAAUACCGGAUAACAACAGAUGAUGCCUAUCAACUGUUUAAAAGAUGGUUCUGCUAUCACUCUUGGAUGGACCUGCGGUGCAUUAGCUAGUUGGUAGGGUAACGGCCUACCAAGGCGAUGAUGCAUAGCCGAGUUGAGAGAUUGAUCGGCCACAUUGGGACUGAGACACGGCCCAAACUCCUACGGGAGGCAGCAGCG